rnacentral:rRNA from 1 species
AUGGCUCCCGCAUCACCACCGCCUCCCUUGGCCGGCCAGGAGCGUGGACGGGUCAAAUCGCCGCCGCGGGACACGCCGCUCGUGGGAUGCGCCGGCGGCGCUCGGCGGCAGGGCUCCUCCUCCCCAAGGCCCAGCCAUACCUCUCGCGUCGGCAGCCUCCAGUCACUGAAGAAUACAGUGCCGAUGGAGACUACGGUGGGCACACCGCCGGAGCUGCCGGAGGAACUCCUGAUGACCGUCUUCGGCACCCUCGAGAUCCCUGAUCUUGUACGCGCUGCUUCCGUCUGCACCUCGUGGCGCUCCGCCUACACCGCACUGCGCAGCCUCGGCAAGCACAAGCAGGCCCAGACGCCGUGCCUGCUCUACACCUCUGAAUCUGCUGGUGACAAUGUUGCGUGCCUCUACAGCCUCGUGGAGAAGAGGGUCUACAGGCUGACCCUGCCGGAGCCACCUCUCCGCCGCCGGUUUCUUAUUGGGUCCUCGCUCGGCUUCCUGGUCACCGUCGACGAUAUAUCUGAAAUGCACCUCGUCAAUCCUAUCACUGCUCAACAGAUUGCUCUUCCUUCAGUGACCACCAUGGAGUACGUGAAGCCCAUCUUUGAUGACUCGGGUGCUGUCCACGAGUACCAAUACCCAUGUCAUUUUGCAGGACGAGCUUUCUUCGCGCCAUCGAUCGUCGCUCGCUGUAAGCUGCGAGAACAACUCCAGAUCAAGGCGUUUCUGUUUCAUGAUACAUCCACGGGAAGCUACAUUGUGGCGCUCAUCCACGAGCCAUUCAACCACCUCUCGUUUGCAAGAGUAGGGGAUGAUAAGUGGACCUUGCUGCCACCACACCAUCACUAUCAGGACUGCACCUACAAGGAUGGGUUGUUGUACGCGGUGGAUAUAAAGGGAGAAAUCCAUGCCUUCGAUCUUAACGGUCCUGCUUUUACAAUGAAGAUUAUCAGGGGGAUCGACGAGGAUUUUUAUCCCGAUGCCAUAUACAUUGUUGAGGCCCCAUGGGGUGGUCUGCUGCUUGUUUCAAGAUUUAAAGAGUUUGAGGAUCCUGCUGAAGAUGGUGACCCUGAAAUAUAUGUUCCACAUACUACGGAAAUCAAAUUACACAGAGUUGAUGAUGGCACAGAGAGGCUUGUGGAAAUCGAUUGCUUGCCUGACCAUGUGCUGUUUCUUGGGCACAACCAUCCACUUUGUCUGAGUGCCAAAGAUUACCCUGCUCUCAAGGGAAACCAUGCCUACUUUACUGACGAUGAUGAGUACAAUAAAAACCGUAAGAGUAGCCCUCGUGAUAUUGGAGUAGUUGGCUUGAGCAAUAAUCGCGAGAUGGACCUUGUGUCUCCUCUGCUUUGGUCCAACUGGCCUUCUCCAGUGUGGCUUACACCCAGCCUUACGGUGAUGAAACUGCCAUCAAAUGACCGUUGGCUCAGUGGAUGGGAUCAUGUACUCUCGAGACCAUCACCGACUGAGGCUACGGUAGGCACUACACUCCUGGAGCUACCAGAGGACAUCAUGAUGCGUGUCUUUGCCACCCUUGAGAUCCCUGACCUCGUACGUGCUGGUGCUGUCUGCACCUUUUGGCGCUCUGCCUACACCGCCCUGCGCAAACUUGGCACACACAAGCAGCCCCAGACGCCGUGCCUGCUCUACUGCUCUGAAUCUUCCAGCGAGAAUGUUGCCUGUCUCUACAGCCUUGUGGAGAAGAGGGUUUACAGGCUAACUCUCCUGGAGCCGCCUCUCCACAGUAGGCUUCUGAUUGGGUCCUCUCUUGGCUUGCUGGUCACCGUCGACGAGAGAUCUGAAAUGCACCUUGUCAAUCCGAUCACUGGUCAACAGAUUGCUCUCCCUUCAGUGACCACGAUGCAGCACGUGAAGCCCAUUUGUGAUGACUCGGGUGCUGUCCACAAGUAUGAAUACUCAAGGCACAUGGCAAACCAAGCUAUCUGCCCUCCAAAGAUAAUUGCUCCAGCUGCCCUGAGGGAAGUCUUCCACCAAAAGGCUCUUGUGUUUUAUGAUACACCCACAGGGAGCUACAUAGUGGUGCUCAUCCACAUGCCGUUUGGUCAGCUAUCCUUUGCAAGGGUAGGGGACGAUAAGUGGACCUGGCUGCCACCUCACACUGAUUAUUUUGACUGCACCUACAAGGAUGGGCUAUUGAAUGCAGCGACUCUAAUGGGAGAAAUUCACACCUUUGAUCUUAGUGGGCCUGCUGUUACAAUGAACACUAUCAUGGGUGUGGAUGAUGAUGACGAUUUUGAGAUUCAGGGAGCAUACAUUCUUCAAGCUCCAUGGGGUGGUUUGCUGCUUGUUUGGAGAUUGAAAGUGUAUAGUGGCAAUCCUGAUGAUAUUUCAUCACUUACACUGCACACCAAAGGAAUUAAAAUACAUGAGGUUGAUGUUGCUGCCAAGAAGCUUGUGGAAAUUGAUUGCCUGCACGGCCAUGCGCUGUUUCUUGGUCAUAACCAGUCACUCUGUCUCAGCACCAAAGAAUGCCCUGCUCUCAAGGAAAAUCGUGUCUACUUCACUGACGAUAAUGAGUACAUAACUGUACAUAAGGAUAAUCGUCGUGAUAUAGGACUACUUCGCUUGGAUAAUAAUAGCUGGGAAAGCCUUGUGUUUCCUCAGCUUUGGUCCAACUGGCCUGCUCCUGUGUGGAUUACACCCAAUCUUACAAUGAUGAAACUAUCAUUAAAUAAGUAG